rnacentral:rRNA from 1 species
UACGUAGGGUGCAAGCGUUGUCCGGAAUUAUUGGGCGUAAAGAGCUCGUAGGCGGUCUGUCGCGUCGAAUGUGAAAACCCCGGGGCUCAACCCCGGGCCUGCAUUCGAUACGGGCAGACUAGAGUUCGGUAGGGGAGGUCUGGAAUUCCUGGUGUAGCGGUGAAAUGCGCAGAGUAUCAGGAGGAACACCGGUGGCGAAGGCGGGUCUCUGGGCCGAUACUGACGCUGAGGAGCGAAAGCGUGGGGGAGCGAACAGG